GAGUUUGAUCCUGGCUCAGAGUCAACGCUGGCGGCGCGCUUAACACAUGCAAGUCGAACGAGAAAGGGGAGCAAUCCCUGAGUAAAGUGGCGCACGGGUGAGUAACACGUGGGUAAUCUACCCUUGGGUGGGGAAUAACCCUGGGAAACCGGGGCUAAUACCGCAUAAGCCUGGAAAGGGAAAGGCGAAAGUCGCCGAAGGAGGAGCCCGCGGCUGAUUAGCUAGUUGGUAGGGUAAAGGCCUACCAAGGCUUCGAUCGGUAGCCGGCCUGAGAGGGCACACGGCCACACUGGCACUGAAACACGGGCCAGACUCCUACGGGAGGCAGCAGUGGGGAAUCUUGCACAAUGGGGGAAACCCUGAUGCAGCGACGCCGCGUGAGCGAUGAAGCCCUUCGGGGUGUAAAGCUCUUUCGACCGGAACGAUAAUGACGGUACCGGGAGAAGAAGCUGCGGCUAACUACGUGCCAGCAGCCGCGGUAAUACGUAGGCAGCGAGCGUUGUUCGGAGUUACUGGGCGUAAAGCGUGCGUAGGCGGUUUUCUAAGUCUGGUGUGAAAUCUCCCGGCUUAACCGGGAGGGUGCGCCGGAUACUGGAAGGCUUGGAGUGCGGGAGAGGUAAGCGGAAUUCCUGGUGUAGCGGUGAAAUGCGUAGAUAUCAGGAGGAACACCGGCGGUGUAGACGGCUUACUGGACCGUGACUGACGCUGAGGCACGA
rnacentral:rRNA from 1 species